rnacentral:rRNA from 1 species
GCUUUUUGUUUAUAAUUUAAGGUCUAACCUGCCCACUGAAAUUUUUAAAUGGCCGCAGUAUUUUGACUGUGCUAAGGUAGCAUAAUCAUUAGUUUUUUAAUUGAAAGCUAGAAUGAAAGGUUGAAUGAAAAAAUUACUGUCUCUAAUUAAUUUUAUUAGAAUUUUAUUUUUAAGUAAAAAAGCUUAAAUUUUUUUAAAAGACGAGAAGACCCUAUAGAGUUUUAUUUAAAAUUUGAUAUUUUAUAUUAAGUAUUAAGUUUAAAUAUUAAGUUUUUUAUUUAGUUGGGGUGAUUAAAAAAUUUAAUAAACUUUUUUUUUAUUUUAAUAUUAAUUUAUAAAUUUAUGAUCCAAUUUUUUUGAUUAUAAGAAUAAAUUACCUUAGGGAUAACAGCGUAAUUUUAUUAAAGAGUUCUAAUCGAAAAUAAAGUUUGCGA